GCUGGGCGUGGUGAUGCAUGCCUAUGGUCCCAGCUAUUUGGGAGGCUGAGGCAGGAGGAUUGCUUGAGCCCAGGAGGUCGAGGCUGCAGUGAGCUGAGACUGUGCCAUUGCACUCUGGCCUGGGCGACAAGAGCAAGACCCUGUCUUUA
rnacentral:sRNA from 1 species